GCCAAUGUGGUGUAGUGGUGUCAGCAUUCGAAUACAAUUCUGAAGACCAGGGUUCAAUUCCCCACUUGGACA